rnacentral:lncRNA from 1 species
GCCUUUCUCUUUUCUCAGCCUCCCGGGUAGCUGGAACUACAGGCGCCAGCCACUACGCCAGGCUAAUUUUUUGUAUUGUUAGUAGAGAUGGGGUUUCACCGUCUUAGCCAGGCUGGUGUCAAACUCCUGACCUCGUGAUCCGCCCACCUCAGCUUCCCAAAGUGCUGGGAUUACAGGCAUGAGCCACUGCACCCGGCCUGGUAGUUGUGUUUUAAUAAGCAGACCAGCAGGUAGAUGAAACUCAAGAGAAAAGGUGUGGAUAAAUGAAACUAGCCCAUGAUGAACCUGUUUUCUCCGUGACCACAAUAUUAACCAGGAUGAAUGGCGGUGGCAGUGGGCCUGCAUCACAGGUUGCAGCAGAUGUUCUCAAUAUUUCUAUUAAAAUUUCCUUAUUUCCAUAUGCAAGAGGAGCCCCAGAGCUGCAUCCUUAUGGUAGCUACCAUGCCGUGAUGUAAGCUGCCAUUCACUGGGGAGCUUUGGCAAUAGAAUUGGCUAGAUCAGGAAGCCUAUGUCAACUAUGGAACAACAACUUGCAGCUCAUCUCUAUUGAUGAUACACUGCCUCUAGGACUGGGACAGAUAGCCACUGAGUACCUGCUUCAAAUCACCCUGCACGUUUUCUCUUUGGAAAGAUAAGCACUGGAGAACCAUCUCGUUACCUUCAGCAGAAAUGGAAACAAAUCAAGACAUUAAGAAUGCCGCAGUGGACAGCAGUUAUGCAAGGUUCAGCAGAGGAAGUUUUCAAGAUGGUGUGCCUCACUAGCCAGAAAUCAGAAAAGAUCGAAGCUAGCCUUUUCAUCUCAGCUGCUCCUUAAAUCAGUGCAACCCCUCCAAAUUAAUGUGAAUUGAAACUUGCAUUGCUUUUCAACUUAAUUGAAUACUUACUAUAUGUGAACCACUGCACAAAAUAGGGGAAGAAGAUGUGGGAGACAAAGAUGUGGAGCCUGUCUUCAAUAAAUUUACAGUUAGUUUCAGGGUACAUUGUUUUUCUUCUGCUGUUAAUUAGGUGUAUCCCCAAGACAAUAAAUACAUGAAUGGAAAAGUAUAUUCUGUGUUUUAAGUCUCUUUAAUAAAAAACAAAACAAAAUCCAAAAAAACUCCUAACAUGGCAACUCAGGACAUUUUAAUCCUUUUUUUUGUUGUUGGGCUUCUGAUAGGAUCCAUUUUAUUGAUUCCAUAAAUAUUUAGUAGACUUUAGACAUAUUAAUACAUUGUAGUUUGAGUUAAUUUGCAUUAAAUUCUGUUUUUUUCCCCUUAGGUAUAGAUUGUCUGUUGGAAAAAUAUAUUGCUUGUGGAUUUCUUGGGGAGUGGGAAGGUGAAUUAUACCUGUUGUCUCUACAGUCCACUACCUUCCACACCCUAGGGCAGUGGUCCCCAACCUUCUUGGCACCAGGGAUCAGUUUCCUGGAAGACAAUUUUUCUGUGGAUGGUGUGGGGAUGGUUUUGGGAUGGAACUGUUCCACCUCAGAUCAUCAGGCAUUAGUUAGGCUCUCAUAACGAGUGCGCAGCCUAGAUCCCUCACAUGCACAGUUCACAGUAGGGUUUGCGCUGCUAUGAGAAUCUAAGGCUGCCACUGAUCUGACAGGAGGCAGAACUCAGGUGGCAAUGCUUACUGGCCCACUGCUCACCUCUUGCUGUGCGGCCUGGUUCCUAAUAGGCCAUGGACCCCCACAGACGGGUACUAGUCUGCAGCCUGUGGACCCCAGCCCUAGGGGCCUGCCAUUCUGAGUGAGUUAUUAGCAUGAAGAAGAGGAAGAUCUGGAUCAAACGUGGGUGAUGGUACUCAGAGACCCAAGAUAGGAUAGGGAUGGAACAAAAUCCAUCUGGGCAACGGCUCUAUGAAAAUUUGGCUAAGUAAUUAUUUCAGUAUUCAUUGUAUUCAUUGUCCUUCGUGUUCCAUAAGUUAAAUGACUGUCUAAUUUUUCCAAAAAUUUAUUUCUGACUUGAGAAUAAGUGUGUCAUGAUUUUCCCAGUGUAAAGACACUGAUAUAACUGUAGAUACCAGACAUUUUAUGUAGUGUCUAUGACACAUUUUAGUAUGUAUGAGCCAACAAUAGACAUGUCUUUGUCUUGAGGAGUGUCCAUCUGAAUUGAAAAUGUGUCAGCUUUUUUUUAACAUCAUCAACAGACUUCUUAAUUAAGCUGCCAAUACAUACUGCCAAUAGCACUGUGUGCUGUCUGAGAAAUGCAUUGUGUAAGUGCUAUUUCCAUCUUAUUAAAUAAACAAUGUUGCUCUGUAUAAACUGGAUUUAAAGUGUUCUUUGAAUGAGGCAUUAUAUUGCUCCAUAAAUAAUGUGAUGUGAAUUCUCAUAUGAUCCCUUUUAACUUAAUUUCUAAAAAAAUAUUAUUUGCUCCUCAGUAAGGAAUAGCUCUAAUUGGACUGGUAACUUUAGUGAUAUGAUUUGUCUGUAACAGGCUGAAUCGCCCCACUCCCAAACUCCUGGUCGUGAUACUGGAUAUUUGUUAUGCCACUUUUAGUUUGCAUGAGGUAUCUUCCAGGAAGUAUUAGUUAUUAACUUGUGUUCUACUAAACUGUAGAUAUUUAUUUCCUGUUCUGGAAGAUUUCUUGGAGUGUCCAUCUGUGCAUUCCUGGUGCCUAGUGUAGUCUUGCUAAUGGAAUAGCACCUUUAUUGGUGCUACUUAGGGGUUGGUAGCUUACAAUCAAUCUACUUGGAACGUAUCCAAAUAAACUGGAUAUUUUUAUACA